AUGCCGCCUCCCCACCAUGGUGUCAUGCCCCUGUUCAUCGUCGUUGUCACCGCGACCCCUUUGUUGGCCGCCAAGACCGCCUGGUGCUGCCUUGUUUUGGUUCGCAAAGUUCCGCACCGAAACAUCUUCACGGUCGACUAUGUUUUGCUGUCCCGACCGGAACCAUCAAGUACUAGAGACGCAAUGGCGCCAAGUACCAAUACGAAUGUGAACGACUACCAUCAAAGUGUACGACUACACGACGCCCGCCAAGUUCGACGACGCUUGCCGCCCGAAGGACUACCGCCGACGCGUACCUCUUCGUCUCCAUGGGUUUCGUCAAGUUCAACGGUGAACCCCGAAGUCCUCGGAUCCGUCAAGUCCAACAACGAUUUUGCUCAACUACCCACGACCCCAAACGUCUACGAAAACGAGUACCACUACCAUCGCCGAGAUCGCGAGAACCUCUACCGACGAACUCGGAGUGUGUAA
rnacentral:rRNA from 1 species